CGUAGGAUGCGAGCGUUGUCCGGAAUUAUUGGGCGUAAAGAGAACGUAGGCGGUUUGUUAAGUUUGGGCUUAAAGACUGGGGCUCAACCCCAGGAGUGGCCUGAAAACUGACAGACUAGAGGAUGGCAGAGGAAAGUGGAAUUCCCAGUGUAGCGGUGAAAUGUGUAGAUAUUGGGAGGAACACCAGUGGCGAAAGCGACUUUCUGGGCCAUUCCUGACGCUGAGGUUCGAAAGCUCGGGGAGCAAACAGGAUUAGAUACCCUGGUAGUCCGAGCCGUAAACGAUGGAUACUAAGUGUCGAGGGUAUCAACUCCCUCGGUGCUGUAGCUAACGCGUUAAGUAUCCCGCCUGGGGAGUACGGUCGCAAGACUG
rnacentral:rRNA from 1 species